GACGAACGCUGGCGGCGUGCUUAACACAUGCCAGUCGAACGGAAAGGCCCCCACCUUGGUGGGGGUGCUCGAGUGGCGAACGGGUGAGUAACACGUGGGUGAUCUGCCCUGUACUUCGGGAUAAGCUUGGGAAACUGGGUCUAAUACCGGAUAGGACCAUGGUUUAGUGUCUCAUGGUGGAAAAAUUAUUGUUUUGGUGCAGGAUGAGCUCGCGGCCUAUCAGCUUGUUGGUGGGGUAAUGGCCUACCAAGGCGUCGACGGGUAGCCGGCCUGAGAGGGUGGACGGCCACAUUGGGACUGAGAUACGGCCCAGACUCCUACGGGAGGCAGCAGUGGGGAAUAUUGCACAAUGGGCGCAAGCCUGAUGCAGCGACGCCGCGUGGGGGAUGACGGCCUUCGGGUUGUAAACUCCUUUCGUUAGGGACGAAGCCACACCUUUUUUGGGUGUGGUGACGGUACCUUUGUGAAGAAGCACCGGCUAACUACGUG
rnacentral:rRNA from 1 species